AGACCCAGAAUUCUCCCUGGGGGUCCAGGUGGACCAGGAGGUCCAGGAGGUCCCUGAGAGGAAGAACAACUCCAGGUGGACCAGGAGUCCCAUCUUUUCCUGCUGGACCCUGGACAGACACAAGCAGAAUGUACACAAAUAAAGCCGUGGGAGGUCGCAGAAGCCCAAGUAUUCCUGGGGGUCCGUUUCUACCCGGCACACCAGACGGUCCUUCAUACCCUGGAGAGAGGCCUUCUGUGGUGUCAGAUGAUGACAUGUGGGGUCCAGGGAGACCAGGAGGUCCUGGAGGCCCUGGUGGACCAGGAGGACCCUGAAGGAAAGCGAGAGGCACACUGCGUGAUCUUGGGGGUCCAGGAGGUCCAGGAAGGCCGGGGGGGCCUGGUGAACCAACUCCUGGGUCUCCCUUUAGAGGGGAAGAGCUCGCCAAGACCUGCAACAGGUGCCAGCGAUGUCUGUUGGGAGUCAGGAUUCUUCAAGGUGAAAAGACUUACUUUUACUGUCAAACUGCAACAGGGCAAGUUUUUAUAAAAAAGUGAGAAAGUCGGUUUUUGUACAUUAAACUGUAUAACUAUCA